rnacentral:lncRNA from 1 species
GCGAGGCCCGGAUGUACGGACUCUCUACUUCACACGCACGCCAAGAAAUGCAAGAAGGUAGGAUGAUGUCUGUAUAGUGCAAAAACCCUUUUGCAAAUAAACCCCUGGAAGAAAAGAAUUUCAAAAAUUCUUUCUUCCUGUUUUUUUCUUUCUUUUCCUCUUUCUUCCCGUUUCCUUUUUCUCUCUUUUACAGGCUACUCAAAAGAUCAUGAAUCUCCCCUCUCCCCAAAUAAAAUUUCUAGCUAUGAAUGAAAAGAAAGCUAGCCUAUUUAUAGGCAAAGACAAGGCUGAACCAGGGAAGAGAAAACGCCAAAAGGGAAGAGUGAACGCCAAACGUUUCAUGAUUUUAUUGAAUUUUUUGAACCGUUUGAUUUCAAUUAAAUCAGUACUAUAUUAAAGAGGUUUCAAAACCGAAGAGACACGUCUCUUCGGAUCUUCAAAUGGUAGCCGAAAGAGGGAAGAUCAAGCGGCCUUCGAUGUGUUCGGAAGAAGAAGAAG